UACGAAGGGGGCUAGCGUUGCUCGGAUUGACUGGGCGUAAAGGGCGCGUAGGCGGUUUGUACAGUCGGACGUGAAAUUCCUGGGCUCAACCUGGGGGCUGCGUUUGAUACGUGCAGACUUGAGUUCGGAAGAGGGUCGUGGAAUUCCCAGUGUAGUGGUGAAAUUCGUAGAUAUUGGGAAGAACACCGGUGGCGAAGGCGGCGACCUGGUCCGAUACUGACGCUGAGGCGCGAAAGCGUGGGGAGCAAACAGG
rnacentral:rRNA from 1 species